CCUCCUUUAAAGAAAUCGGAAUAAAGCGUGAAAGCGCCCGCACAAUCUGCUUAAUCACCGUAAAGAUAAACCGCGGGUCUGUAGCUCAGUUGGUUAGAGCGCACCCCUGAUAAGGGUGAGGUCGGAAGUUCAAAUCUUCCCANACCCACCACCUUCGCGCCCGUAANAGCNAUAAGGGAACAAGGGGCCAUAGCUCAGAUGGGAGAGCACCUGCUUUGCAAGCAGGGGGUCGGCGGUUCGAUCCCGCCUGGCUCCACCANGCGCUAAACGGUGGAGGCAAUUUGCCACCACCGUUUUAUCUCCUGGCCGAGGCGCCCACGGGCACCGUUCCUUCUACCAAUUUAGGGUAGGUGAAUAUACGACCGGUGAAGUCAGGACAAAGUUUUGACGUUCCGGGACUUUACCUGGGUAUGCCACGCCUUUUUAUUAUUGGUUAGUUUUGUGGCCCCA
rnacentral:tRNA from 1 species